rnacentral:rRNA from 1 species
AUUGAACGCUGGCGGCAGGCCUAACACAUGCAAGUCGAGCGAGCUGCGGACGGGUGAGUAAUGUCUGGGAAACUGCCUGCUGGAGGUGGAUAACUACUGGAAACGGUAGCUAAUACCGCAUACCAUCCGAUGUUCCCAAAUGGGAUUAGCUAGGAGGUGGGGUAACGGCUCACCUAGGCGACGAUCCCUAGCGGGUCUGAGUGGAUGAUCAGCCACACUGGAACUGAGACACGGUCCAGACUCCUACGGUAGGCAGCAGUGGGGAAUAUUGCACAAUGGGAGCAAGCCUGAGGCAGCCAUGCCGCGUGUAUGAAGAAGGCCUUCGGGUUGUAAAGUACUUUCAGCGGGGAGGCGUUACCCGCAGAAGAAGCACCGGCUAACUCCGUGCCAGCAGCCGCGGUAAUAC